rnacentral:rRNA from 1 species
UUCCUACGGGGGGCAGCAGUGAGGAAUAUUGGUCAAUGGGCGCGAGCCUGAACCAGCCAAGUCGCGUGAGGGAUGACGGUCCUACGGAUUGUAAACCUCUUUUGCCGGGGAGCAAGCGUGCGUUCGUGAACGCGCGUCGAGAGUACCCGGAGAAAAAGCAUCGGCUAACUCCGUGCCAGCAGCCGCGGUAAUACGGAGGAUGCGAGCGUUAUCCGGAUUUAUUGGGUUUAAAGGGUGCGCAGGCGGAGGUGCAAGUCAGCGGUCAAAUUGCGGGGCUCAACCCCGUACUGCCGUUGAAACUGCAU